rnacentral:rRNA from 1 species
GAUGAACGCUAGCGGCAGGCUUAACACAUGCAAGUCGAGGGGCAGCAUGGGACGGAGAUUCGUCGAAGUCCUGAUGGCGACCGGCGCAAGGGUGCGUAACGCGUGAGCAACUUGCCCGUUUCAGGGGGAUAACCGGUGGAAACGCCGACUAAUACCCCAUAGUAUUGGGUUUAGGCAUCUUUACCCGAUUAAAGAAUUUCGGAAACGGAUAGGCUCGCGUGACAUUAGCUUGAUGGCGGGGUAACGGCCCACCAUGGCGACGAUGUCUAGGGGUUCUGAGAGGAAGGUCCCCCACACUGGAACUGAGACACGGUCCAGACUCCUACGGGAGGCAGCAGUGAGGAAUAUUGGUCAAUGGUCUGACGACUGAACCAGCCAUGCCGCGUGAAGGUCACGGCCCUAUGGGUCUUAAACUUCUUUUGUAAGGGAGCAAUAAGUCCCACGUGUGGGAUGAUGAGAGUACCUUACGAAUAAGCAUCGGCUAACUCCGUGCCAGCAGCCGCGGUAAGAC